AUGAGGCUCCCUGUUCAGCUCCUGGGGCUAUUAGUGCUCUGGCUCCCUGGAUCCAGUGGGGACAUUGUGAUGACCCAGACUCCACUCUUCCUGCCCGUCACCCCUGGAGAGCCAGCCUCCAUCUCCUGCAGGUCUAGUCAGAGCCUCAUGGAUAGUGAUGUUGGAUUCACCUAUUUGCAUUGGUACCUGCAAAUACCAGGCCAGUCUCCACAGCUCCUGAUGUAUUUUACUUCAUACCGGGCCUCUGGAGUCCCAGACAGGUUCAGUGGCAGUGGGUCAGGCACUGAUUUCACACUAGAAAUCAGCAAGGUGGAGGCUGAGGAUAUUGGGGUUUAUUAUUGCAUGCAAGGUAGAGAGCUUCCUCCCACAGUGGUACAUCCCCAAACAGAAACCUCUCUUCUGGGGUGUCCCAGCUGCUCACAUGCACUGCUUGUCUUGGGAGCAGCUCAGCAGGGUCUCUGA